GCUCUGGCAGGAGUGUGUUUGGGGUGUUCAGGGGUCCAGGUGCCUCGUCUCUGGCGUCGCCUGCAGUGCUGCCGUCGGGCUGAGAGGUAAUCAGGCAGCAAAGCACUUCUGACGGACCGCACACAAAAUACACACACAAAACUACUCAGCACACUACUAAUUUCAUUUGGCCCGCAGGAAAACCUGCGAGAGAGACAGAUACAGAGAGAGAGACCGAUCGAGAUGCUGUGAUGAAGUCGUUUUAGACAUUCCACAUAAUGGAUCUCUCAUCCAAAAACGAUUUGUCAUCCGUACAGGGAAAAACACGAGCAGAUCUCCAGUUCUAGAGAGACGCUUAAUGUCUCGACAUCUGGGAAAACCGCACCAGUCCAUCAGUUGGAGACCUGAUCCUUUCCCUAUAAAUCCAACAAAGGACGUGAAAACAAAAGAAAUGAGGG